rnacentral:lncRNA from 1 species
GAAUAUGCUAUUUUUCUCUAGAUUAUCUUAACGAUCUACUGGUCCUAGGAAGGGUUGUGAAGGUUCUAGAGAGGAUGUCUUAGAUCUGAGAGGUUUUAUUUGUUUUUGUUUUUGUUGUUUUUCAUGUUUUUCUAAUGGUUUGUGUUGGCUUCCUUUUGUGUUUAAUGUUUUGUUUUUUACUUGUCUUGUUUCUGGUGUCGGUUAGUGUGGUCUAAUUGUUUUGAAACCCCUCAGACGUUGUUUAGGGAUCCAAUGGUUGGGUUACACGCGUGGCUGAUUGUAACUGCUUUAUUCUCCAAGUAUUUAUGGCAUCAAUGGUUUUUACUCAAAAAAAAAAAAGAAUACUUAUAUAACCAAUAUAUAC